rnacentral:rRNA from 1 species
CGUAGGCGGUCUCUUAAGUCAGGUGUGAAAGCCCGGGGCUCAACCCCGGAAGUGCAUUUGAAACUAAGGGACUUGAGUAUGGGAGAGGGAAGUGGAAUUCCUGGUGUAGCGGUGAAAUGCGUAGAUAUCAGGAGGAACACCGGUGGCGAAGGCGACUUCCUGGACCAAUACUGACGCUGAGGCGCGAAGGCGUGGGUAGCAAACA